GGGCAUUUGGCACAGUGGUAGCGCGCACGCUUCGCAUGUGUACGUGCGUGAGGUCGUGGGUUCAACUCCCACAAUGUCCA
rnacentral:tRNA from 1 species